rnacentral:rRNA from 1 species
UAUAGGCUUAACACAUGCAAGUCGCAGGGUAACAUGAGGAAAGCUUGCUUUCCUUGAUGACGACUGGCGCACGGGUGAGUAACGCGUAUCCAACCUUCCCAUAACUACGGGAUAACCCGUUGAAAGACGGCCUAAUACCGUAUGAUAUCGUUUGCUGACAUCAAAUAACGAUUAAAGGUUUAGCGGUUAUGGAUGGGGAUGCGUCUGAUUAGCUUGUUGGCGGGGUAACGGCCCACCAAGUCGACGAUCAGUAGGGGUUCUGAGAGGAAGGUCCCCCACAUUGGAACUGAGACACGGUCCAAACUCCUACGGGAGGCAGCAGUGAGGAAUAUUGGUCAAUGGGCGAGAGCCUGAACCAGCCAAGUAGCGUGCAGGAUGACGGCCCUAUGGGUUGUAAACUGCUUUUAUGUGGGGAUAAAGUGCGUGACGUGUCAUGCAUUGCAGGUACCACAUGAAUAAGGACCGGCUAAUUCCGUGCCAGCCGCCGCGGUAAAAGGG